GGUCAAAGUAAUUAAAAGAGUCUAUGGUGAAUGCCUACCAGC
rnacentral:rRNA from 1 species